rnacentral:tRNA from 1 species
UCUUCGGUAGUAUAGUGGUGAGUAUCCGCGUCUGUCAAAUGCGAUACCCGGGUUCAGUUCUCGAGCGGGGAG